UAUUGCACAAUGGGGGAAACCCUGAUGCAGAGACGCCGCGUGAGUGAAGAAGUAUUUCGGUAUGUAAAGCUCUAUCAGCAGGGAAGAAAAUGACCGCACCUGAUUAAGAAGCCCCGGCUAACUACGUGCCAGCAGCCGCGGUAAUACGUAGGGGGCAAGCGUUAUCCGGAAUUACUGGGUGUAAAGGGAGCGUAGACGGUGAUGUAAGUCUGGAGUGAAAGGCGGGGGCCCAACCCCCGGACUGCUCUGGAAACUAUGUGACUGGAGUGCAGGAGAGGUGAGCGGAAUUCCUAGUGUAGCGGUGAAAUGCGUAGAUAUUAGGAGGAACACCAGUGGCGAAGGCGGCUCACUGGACUGUAACUGACGUUGAGGCUCGAAAGCGUGGGUAUCGAACAG
rnacentral:rRNA from 1 species